CAUCUUGACCUGAAGAUUUCUUUUUUGGAAGCUUUAAUUACAAAUUUAUUUUUUUAAUGGUUAUAAGACUAUUCAUAUUAUCUAUUUUAUGUUUGUUUUUGGUAGGUUUUCAAGGAAUUGAUCCAUUCUUUUAAGUUAUUAAAUGUAAGAGCUGAAUUUAUGAGGAAUCAUUGAAAGUUUUGAUAUUAGUAUAUCUCUAAAAUAGGCAUAUGUCAUGCAAUUAAUUACAUAAGUAUAGGUAACAAAGACACAAUUAAUUACAUAAGUAUAAGUAACAAAGACACAAAUAGUCAUGCUGAGUAAGAGCUAGAAUGUAUGGAAAUACUACAGACCAUUAAUCUGUGGUAGAGUGGCAGUUUCUGAAGUGUAUAGCAUUUCUGGUCUUUUCCCUUUUUUUUGUAAUUUGAUACAUAAAAAUAUAAUACUAAGUAUAUUGCAGAUUUUAAUAAGGGUGUGUUAAAGUGAGAUUUAUUUAAAUUAACUUUUUUUUCCACAUCCAGGAAUUGAGCCUAUAGUAGAGCUUCCUCCCUCACCUUAUUCAGGUCUCUGCUCAGUUGUCACCAAUUCAGAGAUUCCUUCCCCACUUCCCCAUUUGAAAUGGGACUCCUAUUUACUUGUUUACUGAAUGUCUCCCUCACUAGAAGGUAAGCUCUGUCAGGAGAAGGACUUUAUUUUGUUCCCCUGCUGUGUCCUACAGUGUCUAGUACCUAGAAAGUCUUAACUAUGUGGUUGUUAAAUAAAUGCAUCUUUUUCAGGUUCACACAACUGGUGUUGCCUUUGGUCCUAUUUAUUGGGGUGGCUUCGGGUUAUCCUGUACACUUCUCAUUCCUCCUAUCAAGGUGUAAAAUUCAAAUCUUAAAUUUGGAAAGAAGCUCCUUUGAGGUUGUCUAGUCCAGUCCCCUCCCAGUGCAGCAAUCCUGCUGCUGUGUAGUCUCUGUAUUUUGUGGGAGUGUUCUGAGUGACAAGGCUUAUUACUCAUUACUUAGGACUUAGUGCUCCCCUAACGUGAGCCAGUCAGUUGUUUUCACCCCACUGCUCUGUGACCUCCUUGUCAUACCAUAAUUCAGUUUUGAAUCCUACAAAUCCAUAGUUUAGUAGAGCAUAUGCUCUGUAAGUGUUUUUCUUGAAAAUUCUGUUUUACCACUCGUGAGAGGCCGUGUUGUGCUUCCUCUUCUCAGGUGGUCAGGCUGCACAGCACACUGACUUCUUAUUCCGCCUCUCAGGCCACCCAGAGUCUGAGGCUGGAAGUGAGCACACGAGAAUCUUUCAGUAUCACAAUGAUCCAAUUCCCCUCAAAGGGCCUCAGCCAGGCAAGCUUUCUGCCAGGCAGCUCUGGGUCUCAUCCUCAAGGAGAAAGCUGGGACCGAUGCUUUCAAAAUUCAGACAUGACACAAGGUAAAGAAUGCUUUUAUGUUUCCUGGUCAUCAAGUUUUAUCAAGUUGAUUAUCAAGGUUUUUUUGAAACCUGAUUGAAACCUGCUUCUUUGACUUCAUUUUCUGCUGUCGUGUUUUAUUACCAAGUAGAGCUUUCUACACAUCGUGGGCACACACAUAAAGGCUGAAAUAUUUCCCUAACAUUGUAGAAAUGGGUCUCUCUCACCCAUACACCAGGUCUCCCUGCACCCUGUGCUGAUGCCUUCCAAUUUAUUCAGCUCGUUCCUCCUCCUGGUCCACCUCGCUGUAGCCUCUGUACCUGCUGCAACGUUCUUGGACACUGGGACUAGAGACAGAGCUCUGCUGCAGGGGCUCUGGCUGGCUGGCUCCUGGUUUCUCCUUCUAAACCACACCCUGGAGACUCAGAUGCCCUUGAGUUCCCCAUGACUUAAUGUUGAGUUAUUUCCUCUCUAUCAUUCCAUGAUUGAAUGUUUAUCUGCGUGAACACCUCAGCACCUCAUAGUAUCAUAGAUCUGAGCAUAGGCAGGACUACAGCCGGGACUCAUCUUGGCUGCCACAUGUGUGUAUUGCCCCUCUCUCACCCCUUAGCAUCUCCACUAAAUUACUGCCAGCUCUUUCUAAGACCUCAGGAGGCUGGAAAGCCAUUACCUCAUGAAGUACUUUUUUAUUCAGCUCUCCAUUAGAAAGUUCUUCCCUCUAAAUUGAUCCAGAAUAUGUGCUCUCCCAAAUAAACCUCAUAAUUUUUAUUCAGGCUAAUUCUGAUCUUUGGAGCAAAAGAGAAAAAAAUCUAAUUUAUUCAUCUCAUAUUUAAGAUUGUUAAUUUCCAAAUUCAUUAAUAAAUUCUCACUGAAUGCUUAUUGUAUCAUCUUUUAUCUUCUUACAGUAAAUGAAAAUACAUCUACAUGUUUUUCACCAGGGAUUCUUGGCCUGAACAAACUUAGUAUAAAUUGGUCCAUCCAGAACUUUCUUUUUCAUUAUUGUGCAUGCAUGCAGAGUUUUUGUUUGAAAUUAAACAGUAACUAGGCUGGCAGAUAUGGUUUGCAGGGCUGUAUCUCCACAGGCUGAGAAACUGAAGCUUUCUUUCCUUCAGGGUAGACAGCCCAAGCCCUUUGUGUUCUUAAGUUUAAAGUGCAGUUUUGAAAACUGCAGUGUUCAGAAAUUAGUUGGGAAGCUUUGUUGUUUCUGAUGGAUGCUGUUGUCCAGGAGGGGGGAAUUCCCUCUCUAUCCUUGAGUUCCUGUGGCUGAACUGAUAAUAAAAUUGGCACACGAUCAGAUUAACAGGAGAAAAAGCAAGUUAAUAUGUGUGCAUAUAGAUAAUCAGUGACGCUCUGAGAAAUGAUGACCACCCAGCUUUUUAUACUUUUUUUAGACAAAAACAAUGUAUUGGUGAAGAAUUGACAAGAUAAAUACACUUAGGUGUGGGUGUUCAUUAGUGAGGGAUCUAAACACUGUUUGGGCUUGGGUAACAAGGUUUGUUUCUGUAAGCUUUUUGGCCCUGGAUUCCUUAACGCUAGUGAUAAGGGUGUUUCCCUCAGCUCCCCUGUAGCAAGGAGGCACCUUUAACUGCAGAGACUUAUUUCCUGCAGUCAAGGCAACAAGCAAGGGUCAAUGGGCCUUUCUUGCACCAACUGCUUGUCAAGUAAUUUUAAUUCAAAGUUAUCAAAACGCCACUGUGGAAUAUUUUGGGGUGGCCUGCCCUGGGCCCCAACAAAUCUGUAGGCUUUAAGGUCAAGGCUGUAUUAGUCAGUUUCCUAUUGAAAAGACACUUAUUUUUAAAGUGAAUGGUAAAAAAAAAUAAAAUAAAAAAUAAAUUGAAUGGUAAUCAGUGAUUACAUAUCAGAACAAUUUGCCUCGGAGCUGUGAAGACAGAGCUUGUUUCACUUCUCACAUGCCUUACACAUAGAAGAAGAAUACAGGAAAUGUUCCUUUUAGUUCUUUGAUUAUCUAGCUGGUAUCUUUAUGAAACUGAGGAUCCCAAGUUUGAAAAAGCACAAAAAUCUAAUUAAAAAUAAGAAACUUAAAAGGACUCUAUCAUGAAGUAGUUUGAUUAGUUGUACACUUGGAAGUGACUCUGUGUUGUGCUGUAUAAAAGCUGUUUGCAGACCAGAGUUCUAAACUAAAUAUGAGCAGCGCAGAAUCUAGCCAUGUGCUUCCGGAGUCAUUUGAUGGAGCCUUUAUUUCUACAACAUAAUAAUUUAAAGCUUUUGACUUUUAGAUCCAAAAGGAAAUUCUGGCACUUGAAUACUGUCUGGGAACAACUUGUCAUGCCUGCUUUGUGGAAUUGAUGUUCAAAAUGAAAUGCAAAAAAUGCAGACUGUCACAGCACAUACCCGGAAUUGGUACUCCAGGGAGAACAGGAUAUGUAAAUAGAGGAUAUCUUUGGUCUGACUGUUGAUCACAUGGCUGAGGUAGUAUUUGUGAGGUUUCUCCACUGUAAAGUCCCUCUUCCCCCUCCCAUCCUGCAGUCUUUGGAAGGAAGGCUCUACGCACAACCCACACUUAAGUUGUGCUGCUUUCUGCCUGAUGCCAGCGGAUCUGUUGCAAAUUCAUUAGAUCCAUUUCAAAUUCUAGUGAAGAAGAAGUGACCUUGAAAGGAUCAGUAUUUUAAAUAAUUUUGAAAGAGGGUGGUGACAGAAAUCGACAUUAUCAAGAGGGAAUUCAGAAUUGGCAGGUGGAGGAACAUUUGGGAGGAAAACUGUGGCCGUUAGCAUUGAAGAAGACAAGAGGAUUCUUCAGGACACUGAGACUUCCCACCACACUGUAGUGGAGGACUUUUUUUUCAAUUGAAUUUAUUGGAGUGACACUGGUUAAUAAAAUUACACAGGUUUCAAGUGUA